rnacentral:sRNA from 1 species
AUGGACGACGCGCAGAUUCCGGUGCUGGCCGCACCGCCCGCACCCGUCUGACAACUGCUCGCCAGAUGGUGUUAGCC